rnacentral:rRNA from 1 species
UACGUAGGGGGCAAGCGUUGUCCGGAUUUAUUGGGCGUAAAGAGCGUGUAGGCGGUUAGGUAGUCCGUUGUGAAAACUCGAGGCUCAACCUCGAGACGCCGAUGGAAACCAUCUAACUAGAGUCCGGAAGAGGAGAGUGGAAUUCCUGGUGUAGCGGUGAAAUGCGCAGAUAUCAGGAAGAACACCCGUGGCUAAGGCGGCUCUCUAGUACGGUACUGACGCUGAGACGCGAAAGCGUGGGGAGCGAACAGG